rnacentral:lncRNA from 1 species
CCGAGAUUCUACAACGCCUAGACAUCACCCCGGAAAAGCACUGACAGGCAUUCCGAGGAAACAAGACCAAGGGAGAGAAAAGCCCCAAGAUGUUGUGGCACAGCCUUAGAGAUGAAAUGAUGAAGUGGCUGAGGCCGACGGAGACCACAAAAGAAGAAAUAUGUGAUCAGGUUCUGCUAGAACAGUUCCUGACGGACCUGGAGGACGACACCCAACAGUGGGUAAGGUGUCACGGCCCCACAACUUCCCUACAGGCUCUCCAGUUGGCGGAGCAAUAUACAGCAGCCCAGGUGGGGCGACGCCCGGGUCGGGGAAAACCGAGGGCGGAAGGCUCCCCCCGAAAGGGCAGGGGAAGUAAGGCUGAGAAGACCCCGGGGAACUCGGGUGUUAGUUGCUUCCGGUGUGGCGGCAGGGGGCACCUUGCCUGGUCCUGCCCGACCGAAGCUGAGUACCCCCCCGGUAAGGGGACCCCGAUCCCCAGAGGUAGCAGCAGAGCAGGGGAAUACACCCGGGAGGAACCUAUGGACUGUGGGGUUGGCGGCAGGGAAGACACCUUCCCCAGGCCCCUGGCGCGAGUAAAGGCCUGGGUGGGACAGCGACCACUCAUGGCCGUAAUUGACACCAGAUGCUCACAGACCCUAGUCAGACCAUCACUGGUAGAAUGGAGGCGCGCCCCGCGUUGCACAGGGAUCCACUUAGUCUGCCUGCACAAUCAGAGGACGCACUUCGAGCGGCGGAUCCUAGAGGUCCAGCUGCAGGGAGUUUCGAGACGCCUGCCCGUGGGGUUGAAGGAAGAUAUCUUGCACCCCAUGUUCGUGGGGAGGGACUGGCCGGAGAUAUACGAGGUGCUGGCCGCCCUCCAGCCUCGGAAAGGAUCCCCACAAGGCUUAGCAGGGGAAGAACCCGAACCGCCCUGGCCGGCCGAGCUGGACGGCCUGGCGAACAGUUACCAGUUCCGGGAGGCGCAGGAGAAGGACGCGGAGCUGAGACCCUUCCGUGAAGAGGCACUCCAACAGGAGCGGCAAUCGGUAAGCCCCACGGCGGAUCGGGGACAGGGCCCCCGGGUCGAGUUAAGACAGGGUCUGCUAUANNNNNNNNNNNG